rnacentral:rRNA from 1 species
UACGAAGGGGGCUAGCGUUGCUCGGAAUUACUGGGCGUAAAGGGCGCGUAGGCGGAUAUUUAAGUUGGGGGUGAAAUCCCGGGGCUCAACCUCGGAAUUGCCUUCAAAACUGGAUAUCUUGAGUUCGGGAGAGGUGAGUGGAACUCCGAGUGUAGAGGUGAAAUUCGUAGAUAUUCGGAAGAACACCAGUGGCGAAGGCGAGUCCCUGGACAAACCCUGACACUGAGGCACGAAAGCCAAGGGAGCAAACAGG